UACGUAGGGGGCGAGCGUUGUCCGGAAUCAUUGGGCGUAAAGAGCGUGUAGGUGGCUUGGAAAGUCUUACGUGAAAGCCUGCGGCUCAACCGCAGAAGUGCGUGGGAAAUACCUCGCUAGAGUCCGGAAGAGGAGAGCGGAAUUCCUGGUGUAGCGGUGGAAUGCGCAGAUAUCAGGAGGAACACCCGUGGCGAAGGCGGCUCUCUGGGGACGGUACUGACACUGAGACGCGAAAAGCGUGGGGGAGCGAACAGG
rnacentral:rRNA from 1 species